UAGGGAAUCUUCGGCAAUGGACGGAAGUCUGACCGAGCAACGCCGCGUGAGUGAAGAAGGUUUUCGGAUCGUAAAGCUCUGUUGUAAGAGAAGAACGAGUGUGAGAGUGGAAAGUUCACACUGUGACGGUAUCUUACCAGAAAGGGACGGCUAACUACGUGCCAGCAGCCGCGGUAAUACGUAGGUCCCGAGCGUUGUCCGGAUUUAUUGGGCGUAAAGCGAGCGCAGGCGGUUAGAUAAGUCUGAAGUUAAAGGCUGUGGCUUAACCAUAGUGCGCUUUGGAAACUGUUUAACUUGAGUGCAAGAGGGGAGAGUGGAAUUCCAUGUGUAGCGGUGAAAUGCGUAGAUAUAUGGAGGAACACCGGUGGCGAAAGCGGCUCUCUGGCUUGUAACUGACGCUGAGGCCCGAAAGCGUGGGGAGCAAACAGGAUUAGAUACCCUGGUAGUCCACGCCGUAAACGAUGAGUGCUAGGUGUUAGACCCUUUCCGGGGUUUAGUGCCGUAGCUAACGCAUUAAGCACUCCGCCUGGGGAGUACGACCGCAAGGUUG
rnacentral:rRNA from 1 species